rnacentral:lncRNA from 1 species
UAUAUUGUUACGCUCUGGCCCUUGGCCUUAUUUCAUAAACUUAAACGUGUAGUUUUCAUCGUGUGUAAUUUGUGGCCUCCGUUCCACACUUCUCCAUGCAGAUGUCCCCGAGUACGCCUCGUAUGGUAUUUUUAUUAGAGAAGUGGUUUACCUGUACUUAAUCCCUAUCUAAUGAUUCUAUUUAAUCAAUGUGUUAUCUUCAUUUAACGGUGCAAUCCGAAAUUUGUCUCAGUUUAUCGUUACUUUCACUAUUCGGCGCCAUUCCUCAUGUUUUGUUUUUCUUGUGUACUACGUCAUAUUUGUGGGCGGGGCCAAAGUAUAAAUAGCAAGGUUUGUGUGCACCGAGUAGGAUUUUUCACCUCAAUGCAGAACGAUCGCAGAACUUUACUUUCAAUCGAAAUUAUAUUGCACCAAGCAAAUUAUAUUCAAACUUAUGCAGUGACAUGACGCAAAAACAUUUAAGAUUUAACCAGAGAUUGGUAAUUGUUUAUUCUGAAACUUUGUAAAGAGAAUUUAAUUCAUUGUUUGGAGAAUAUCAUAAAACCUGAGUCUGCCGUUUUACACCAAGUAGCGUACUCGGUGUUUACAUUUUGGCUAGCACCAAGCAGAUUUGCUCGGUGCUGCACCAAGUGGAAUUACUUGGUGAAAAGUAUUUUUCUUUAAUAGAAAGCUUUUAGAUAUUUAAAUAUUAGUCUUUUA